rnacentral:tRNA from 1 species
GAGAGUAUGGUGCAGUGGUCUGAGCAUUGGACUGUGACUCUGGAGACCAGGGUUCAAAUCCCUGCUCAGCCA